rnacentral:lncRNA from 1 species
UAGGUGUCUAUCUGAACCCACCUGGGAGAUGGUCUUCCUACUGCUUCCAUCUACUUGGCCCAGAUCUGUCUUAUCAGGAGGGAGUCUCUAACUUUUGUCGGAUGGGACAAUGUAACUGUGUAGAGGCACAAAGGUAGUUUAAGGACACUUAAGUCUUGCUGCCACUUGCUAUUACAAUUAUUGAUGAAUGCUGUUAUUAUAGGGAGAGGCCUCUCAGUGUGAAAGCAUUUUUGUUAUUCUUCAGUCUCCACCAUCAUAUUUUUUGCAGAAGUUACUCAUGACAGAUGCAACUUUCCUGGCUCCAGAGGCUGAAACCAAUCUUCCGAGCCGUUAUCCUCAAGGAUAUUGCAGAGUAAGACUGAUACAUUAACUAGCAAGCAGUGAUCCUGUUCUCCUGGAGCUUCAGCUCAGCUGAAUCUUCUGUGCUUCAGAGCAAGCUCUCCCAGCCCUCUCUACCAUGACACUACCACUUCAUCCUGUGAACAAUUCACCUGAUGCACUGUUAGAUCUCACUGCCUUUUUCACAGGGUUGUGUUAAUGGCUAAAAUGAUCAGCUAAUAAACUCAGAUGUAGUUCUUCCUGUUGCCUCCUGCUUGUGUUGGGUAAGAUGAAAUUUAAAAAGUUUGUGAACCAAAUCAUAGGUCAUAAAAGUUCUUGUAUUUUUUCACAUAUCUCUGGUUUUUCUACUUCUGGCUGAAAGCGAGGGAAAGAAAUCUCUUCCCCUUGGUCUGUGUAUUGGAGCUCCUGCUUAAGGUGAAAUGUUCACUUGGGUCACAGGGACUUUUACCUGAAAUGGAGACAGCUGGUGGAAAUCUCUGCUACCCUUUAUUUUAAGAUAUUUCCUGGAACCUGAGUCCAUGUUUUACUCUCAGCAGCUUCACCCAUGAGUCCAGGAGCCUGCAUCAAGCAGUAUUUUCAAUGUUUUCUUCUUCUACUUCUGUGUGUGUGUCUUCCACCAAGGGCUGAGAAAUGCAUAAAGCUCUUCCUUGUGGAAGGAGGAAUUUCUCCUGGUCCUGCAGAUGGGAUGUAACCUUUGGCUGCCCUGGGCAGAUUCUCCUGUGAGUCGGUGGAUUUGGUUUCUACAGAGCUCAGCCACCUGCACCAGUCAGU